AGAAAUACUCCUUCCCUUCGGGGCUCUCAGCAAGAUGCUGCAUGGUUGUCGUCAGCUCGUGCCGUGAGGUGUCGGGUUAAGUCCCAUAACGAGCGCAACCCUUAUCGUUAGUUGCCAGCGGGUAAUGCCGGGAACUCUAGCGAAACUGCCGGUGUAAACCGAGAGGAAGGUGGGGAUGACGUCAAAUCAGCACGGCCCUUAUGUCCAGGGCCACACACGUGUUACAAUGGCCGGUACAGAGGGCAGUUACCUGGAGACAGGAUGCGAAUCUCCAAAGCCGGUCUCAGUUCGGAUCGGAGUCUGCAACUCGACUCCGUGAAGCUGGAUUCGCUAGUAAUCGCGCAUCAGCCAUGGCGCGGUGAAUACGUUCCCGGGCCUUGUACACACCGCCCGUCAAGCCAUGGAAGUUGGGGGUACCUGAAGUCCGUAACCGCAAGGAGCGGCCUAGGGUAAAACCAGUGACUGGGGCUAAGUCGUAACAAGGUAGCCGUACCGGAAGG
rnacentral:rRNA from 1 species